UAGGGAAUCUUCCGCAAUGGGCGCAAGCCUGACGGAGCAACGCCGCGUGAGUGAUGAAGGUCUUCGGAUCGUAAAACUCUGUUAUUAGGGAAGAACAAAUGUGUAAGUAACUAUGCACGUCUUGACGGUACCUAAUCAGAAAGCCACGGCUAACUACGUGCCAGCAGCCGCGGUAAUACGUAGGUGGCAAGCGUUAUCCGGAAUUAUUGGGCGUAAAGCGCGCGUAGGCGGUUUUUUAAGUCUGAUGUGAAAGCCCACGGCUCAACCGUGGAGGGGCAUUGGAAACUGGAAAACUUGAGUGCAGAAGAGGAAAGUGGAAUUCCAUGUGUAGCGGUGAAAUGCGCAGAGAUAUGGAGGAACACCAGUGGCGAAGGCGACUUUCUGGUCUGUAACUGACGCUGAUGUGCGAAAGCGUGGGGAUCAAACAGG
rnacentral:rRNA from 1 species